GCUCCCGUAGCAAAGUGGUUUAAUGCGCCGUGCUUAUACAUUCUCAUGUAUGCUGUACAUCCGGGUAACGCGGAGGUCGCGAGUUCGAACCUCGCCGGGAGCA